rnacentral:rRNA from 1 species
AGGGAAGCAAGACCGCGAGGUGGAGCAAAUCCCUAAAAGCCAUCCCAGUUCGGAUUGCAGGUUGCAACCCGCCUGUAUGAAGUUGGAAUCGCUAGUAAUCGCGGAUCAGCAUGCCGCGGUGAAUACGUUCCCGGGCCUUGUACACACCGCCCGUCAAACAAUGGGAGUGGUGUUUACCAGAAGUCGUUAGCCUAACCGCAAGGAGGGCGGCGACCACGGUGAGCACCGUGACUAAUGUUAAGUCGUAACAAGGUAUC